AAGACUUCCAUUAUGUUAGGCUGUGGAGAAACACCAGAUCAAGUCGUGCAAACAAUGGAGAAGGUGAGAGCAGCUGGAGUUGAUGUGAUGACGUUUGGUCAGUAUAUGAGACCUUCAAAGCGCCAUAUGCCUGUAUCGGAAUACAUUACUCCUGAGGCUUUCGAGAAGUAUCAAAAUCUUGGCAUGAAAAUGGGUUUCCGGUAUGUGGCAUCUGGCCCAAUGGUUAGGUCCUCAUACAAGGCAGGAGAAUUCUACAUCAAGUCAAUGAUUGAAUCGGAUCGGGCAGCUUCUAAUUUACAGCCUACACAACCUUGAUUAUUGUUAACAUUUCUAUUGGUCAUCUGUCCCCAACAAUCCCUACAUAAUUUAGCCAUGUUGCAUGUAAGUUGACAUGUUGGCAAAUUGGACUUAUGAUUU
rnacentral:misc_RNA from 1 species